rnacentral:lncRNA from 1 species
CUGAACCCCGGGCCCCAGAUUCCCCAGGAGGGCCCUCUGAGGUGGAGCAGCUACAAGAUGAGACCAAACACCUAAGGAAGGAGCUGGAGAGUCUGGGAAGACAGCUCCAGGCCGAGGUGGAAAACAAUCAGAUGUUGAGUCUCCUGAACAGGAGACAGGAGGAGAGGCUACGUGAGCAGGAGGAGAGGAUACAUGAGCAGGAGGAGAGGAUACAUGAGCAGGAGAAGAGGAUACAUGAGCAGGAUGAGAGGAUACGGGAGCAGGAGUGGCUGCCAGAGCAGGAGAGGCUGCUGGAGGAGGUGAAAAAGCUGUUGGAACAGGAGAGAUGGGAGGAGGAGGAGGAGAAGCUGCUAGAGCAUGAGAGGCUGCUGAACCAGAACAAUGAGAACAAGAGCGCACUGCAGUUGGAGCCUCAAGUAAAGGAGCUGAAGACGCUGGGCGAGCUGAAAGACACGGAGCACCUGGAAGCUACCAGCCAGCAGAAACAGCAGCUAAAGCCAGGUUGAGCCUCAUGGUUCUCCCUGGGGAAGAAGAGAUGGAGGAGGACAUCUGGACAGUGAGGAGGAGGAGGCACCUCGGCCCAUGCAGGACAUCCCAGAGGACCGGGAGAGCCUGGAGGUCAGGUGGCAUUUUUCAACGACGCUGGAGCCAGUGCCCAGGAAGAGCAAAGGGUGUGCUGCCAGCCCCUGGCUCACCCAGUGGCUUCAUCCCAGAGGACCCCAGGGACUGGGGGAAAGUACACCAGACAGGGGGCAGUGCCAAAAUGCAUCACUGGGACAGGAGGACAUCAUCAGGCUGGCCCAGGACCAGGAGAUGCAAAUCUUCGUGGCUGAGCCUCACUGACAGCGUGGAGCCUGCACCAGGAGAGGCCAGAGAGGGUUCUCCCCACCACAACCCCACGGCACAGCAGAUCGUGCAGCUGCUUCCUCUAACGCAGGACUCUCCAGGAGCACCGAGGCUUGGGCAGCAACCCCUGCAUGCCAUUCUUUUCACCGUGCCGAGAUCAGGCAGAUAA